AUUGAACGCUGGCGGCAUGCCUUACACAUGCAAGUCGAACGGCAGCACGGGUGCUUGCACCUGGUGGCGAGUGGCGAACGGGUGAGUAAUACAUCGGAACAUGUCCUGUAGUGGGGGAUAGCCCGGCGAAAGCCGGAUUAAUACCGCAUACGAUCUACGGAUGAAAGCGGGGGACCGUCGGGCCUCGCGCUAUAGGGCUGGCCGAUGGCUGAUUAGCUAGUUGGUGGGGUAAAGGCCUACCAAGGCGACGAUCAGUAGCGGGUCUGAGAGGACGACCAGCCACACUGGGACUGAGCCACGGCCCAGCCUCCUACGGGAGGCAGCAGUGGGGAAUUUUGGACAUAGGGCGAAAGCCUGCUCCAGCACUGCCGCGUGUGUGAAGAAGGCCUUCGGGUUGUAAAGCACUUUUGUCCGGAAAGAAAUCCUUGGCCCUAAUACGGUCGGGGGAUGACGGUACCGGAAGAAUAAGCACCGGCUAACUACGUG
rnacentral:rRNA from 1 species